GACGAACGCUGGCGGCAUGCUUAACACAUGCAAGUCGAACGCUGAAGCUCAGCUUUUGUUGGGUGGAUGAGUGGCGAACGGGUGAGUAACACGUGAGUAACCUGCCCCCUUCUUUGGGAUAACGCCCGGAAACGGGUGCUAAUACUGGAUAUUCACUGGUCUUCGCAUGGGGGUUGGUGGAAAGGGUUUUUCUGGUGGGGGAUGGGCUCGCGGCCUAUCAGCUUGUUGGUGGGGUGAUGGCCUACCAAGGCUUUGACGGGUAGCCGGCCUGAGAGGGUGACCGGUCACAUUGGGACUGAGAUACGGCCCAGACUCCUACGGGAGGCAGCAGUGGGGAAUAUUGCACAAUGGGCGCAAGCCUGAUGCAGCGACGCCGCGUGAGGGAUGGAGGCCUUCGGGUUGUGAACCUCUUUCGCUCAUGGUCAAGCCGCAACAAUGGUUGUGGUGAGGGUAGUGGGUAAAGAAGCGCCGGCUAACUACGUG
rnacentral:rRNA from 1 species